rnacentral:rRNA from 1 species
UGGGGAAUAUUGCACAAUGGGCGCAAGCCUGAUGCAGCCAUGCCGCGUGUAUGAAGAAGGCCUUCGGGUUGUAAAGUACUUUCAGUCGGGAGGAAGGUGGUAAGGUUAAUAACCUUAUCAAUUGACGUUACCGACAGAAGAAGCACCGGCUAACUCCGUGCCAGCAGCCGCGGUAAUACGGAGGGUGCAAGCGUUAAUCGGAAAUACUGGGCGUAAAGCGCACGCAGGCGGUUGAUUGAGUCAGAUGUGAAAUCCCCGGGCUUAACCCGGGAAUUGCAUCUGAUACUGGUCAGCUAGAGUCUUGUAGAGGGGGGUAGAAUUCCAUGUGUAGCGGUGAAAUGCGUAGAGAUGUGGAGGAAUACCGGUGGCGAAGGCGGCCCCCUGGACUAAGACUGACGCUCAGGUGCGAAAGCGUGGGGAGCAAACAGG